CCCCUUAUUAUCCCUGUAUUAAGAGAGACAUAAAUAAUUUCCUCUUAGAAACUAUCAGGCAAAGUCGUAACUUACUUUUUAAGUUCCAAGCUUCCCUCUGCUUGUCCACUUCCUUAUGUUCCAGCAAAAAUCAUGUAGCUGAGCAAUAUAAUGGUCUGGGAAAAAUGAUGAUAGUCUUUAAAAUUUUUCAUAUAAAUGUUAUUUACAUGCGUACUUUAAAUUUUUUCUCUAGGUGCCCUUCCCAAUCAGAUACUUCACAAAUUGUUUUCACCUCCUCCCACUACUCAAGUCUAAAAAGUUUCUCAGAUAACUUGGAGUGUGUUAAGCAACUAUAUAAAUCUUUUUAAACGUUUUUUUGAAACAAAGAGGGAAAGUAAGAUAUUUAAAAGAAAAAAAUCUUAGAGAUGCUCCGAGACCAGUAUAGGCAUUAUUAUGCAAAUAUUUGGAAAACAAUUUUCAGACUGGCAAACACUGAUGAGCUUUUUCUCCCCUCACAUCUAUAUUCAGGGAGAAUUCUGAAAUGCUAAGAUUACAUAGUCUGGUCACCGGCCAAUGCCUUCUUUCAGCCCUGCUCUCACAGAGUACCAGAUCUUUAGUCAACAAUGAAAAAUGUCUAAGGUUAUACAUUUUAUCUUCCCCUUUGCUUUUGAAGCCCCUUUCCUUACGGAGAACUUAGAAAAGUCAGGUUAGGUUUCAAGUACUGUGAAGCUAGGAUCUAGAUUCUUCCAUUCUUUUUAGGCCUUGAGGAAAAGGACAAGUAUAAUUCUUUUUUUUUUUUUUUCAUAUAUCCACUCUUACUGUAGAUUCUUUUCCCAUAUAAACAAUUGCAGAGUAUUGAGUAGAAUUCUCUGUGCUGUACACUAGGUCCUUAUUAGUUAUCUAUUUUAUUUAUAGUAAUGUGUAUAUGACGAUCCCAAUCUCCCAAUUUAUCCCUCCCCCCCAUCAUACCCUGGUAACCAUAAGUUUAUUUUCUGCAUCUGUGACUCUAGUUCUGUUUUGUAAAUAAGUUCAUUUGUACGCUUCUUUCAGAUUCCACAUAUAAGCGAUAUCAUAUGAUAUUUCUCUUUCUGUGUCUGACUUACUUCACUCAGUAUGACGAUCUCUAGGUCCAUCCAUGUUGCAAAUAAUAUUAAUUUGUUCUUUUUUAUGGCUGAGUAGUAUUCCAUUGUAUAUAUGUACCACAUCCUCUUUAUCCAUUCCUCUAUUGAUGGACAUCUAGGUUGCUUCCAUAACCUGGCUGUUGUAAAUAGUGCUACAGUGAACAUAGGGGUGCAUGUAUCUUUUCGAAUUAUGGUUUUCUCUAGGUAUAUGCCUAGGAGUGGGAUUGCCGGGUCAUAUGGUAGUUCUAUUUUUAGUUUUUUAAGGAAUCUCCAUACUGUUCUCCAUAGUGGCUGUACCAAUUUACAUUCCCACCAACAGUGCAGAAGGGUUCCCUUUUCUCCACACCCUCUCCAGCAUUUAUUGUUUGUAGAUUUUUUGAUGAUGGCCAUUCUGACUGGUGUGACUUGAUACCUCACUGCAGUUUUGAUUUGCAUUUCUCUAAGAAUUAGCAAUGUUGAGCAUCUUUUCAUGUGCUUUUUGGCCAUCUGUACGUCUUCUUUGGAGAAAUGCCUAUUUCGAUCUUCCACCCAUUUUUUUGAUUGGGUUGUGGGUUGUUUUUUUUUUGAUAUUGAGCUACAUGAGAUAUUUGUGUAUUUUAGAGAUUAAUCCCUUGUCAGUUACUUCAUUUGCAAAUAUUUUCUCCCAUCUUAAGGUUUCCACAGCUGGCAGGUUGAACUAACAAUUGGUGAAGAGAUAGGAUUUGGGUCAGAUGCCCAGCCAGGGACAAAUAGUUGUAUUUGUUGAGGGCAUACCCUUUAUCCUAUCCUUUGGAAACAUAAGAGUCAUCACAGGUAAGUGGAUGCGAAUCUAAGUCCAGUAGAGGCAAGGGCACAGCAUCUGGUGAAGCUAGCAAGAUGGGACUCCCAAAUCUGGAAAAUGAUGGACGAUUUUCCAUAUUGAGUGUCAUUUGUUGUUUUGAGAACAGCAAUUCUCUUGACCAAUAAAAAUCUUUAGUGAGGGAAAUGCUGAAAUGUGAUCUUAUUUCCUUAGGUUUUUAGAUUGAGAUGCCAGGAAGACAAGAAGUAAAUGUUAUUCUGAAGGUUGUGUCACCCAGAGAGAAAUGAAUAAAUAACUGUCACAGGACACUGAUUCUGGGCUCAUUGACAGAAAGAAACAAAUUAACAUUUCCUCACAUGAGAUAAGGCUUCUUUUCUAUUGAUAAGAAGAAUUUUAAUUAUCUAUUGCCUAAGAUAAUUCAGAAACUUUUAGAAAAACAAAACACCGGUGAACAUGAAAAGCAAAAAUACUUUGCAUCCUAUAAAUUUCUAUUUCAGUUCUUGUUAAUAUUUAUGCAUAUAUUUUUACACACAUAAUUUGUUGAAACAUAUACUCAUUUUGACUCCUGAAAUUUAUAGAAUAUUUAUAUUUCCAUGUAACAAUAUAAUUCUAGAGCCUUUUAAUAUAUUAUUUAUUAUAAUAUUAUUCAUGUAGUCUGAUUCUCAGAAGUAUUUUUGCACCUAACCAGAUUGCACUGAAGUAGGAAUGAGCCAGUACACACUGCCAUAAGUUGAGAUAGCAUUGUGUAUUACUGAAAUUUAUUUUUGAAGUCUUAACUGCAAUAUGCAGUGGUAACAAAAUUGCUUUUAUUUGUGUUUCUAUGUAUUUUUUUAAUAUGGUUGGUGAUUUCUAUUAUUAUGGGUAAGCUUUUUUUAAAUUAUAAUAAGCACUUAUUUAGCAGACUGUGGCUGGUAACUUUAUAUAUUUGUGUGUGUGAGUAUUUGAGAUCAAAAUUUUAUCAGUUAUAGUGUCAUAUAUUUUGUCAUUUAGACGUGUCAUUACUCUAAUUUACAACAAUUAUUUCCAUUUUUAUAUCCUUAAACAUUCAUUGGCUGUGUUUCUUUUUUUUUGCAGUACGCGGGCCUCUCACUGUUGUGGCCUCUCCCGUUGCGGAGCACAGGCUCCGGACGCGCAGGCUCAGCGGCCAUGGCUCACGGGCCCAGCCGCUCCGUGGCGUGUGGGAUCUUCCCGGACCGGGUCACGAACCUGUGUCGCCUGCAUCGGCAGGCAGACUCUCAACCACUGUGCCACCAGGGAAGCCCCUAGAUCAUUCUUUUAAAAUGUUUUUCCCUAUGCAUUCAGCUGCUUAAGGUUCCAUAGAUGUUAAUUAAGAUGCCGAUAUCCAGGCCCCAACAAACUUAUUGAAUUAGUUUCUGUGGUGGAGCCUUGGGUAGAAUUCCUAACAAGUUCCCCAGGUGAUACUUAUAUAUACUAAGAAUGAAAACCAAGGUUGUAGAAGUUUUCUUUUUCUAUUCUAAUAUCAGUAAGGCCAAAUAUAGUGAGUUGUUACUAUAUAGUUACCCGGCUAUGCUCACAUCAUAGCAGUGACCAACAUGAGAAAUGAUUUUAUUUAUUUGUUUGUUUAUGUAUCUAUUUUCUAUCUCCUGCCUUUCAGAUAAGUGCUGCAUGAAAGAUGUGUGAUCUCUUUCAUUUCACCCCUGUACCCAGUGCUUAGAACAUGGCCAGAACAUGCUGAGCUCACCCCUGCUUCAGGGCCUUUGAACUUGCUCUUCUUCAUGCCUGGAAUGAUCUUCUCUCAAGUUUGUACAUGGUUCUCUGCUUCUCGUUAUUUGGUUCUCUUACUAAAAUAUCCUCACAGGGGCCUUUCCUGAGCCCCCUGACAAAGGUACAGCUACUGGGAAAGCACAGUCUCACAGACAGCUUGCUGUUUGGACUUGGGGCUACAGGGAGGAGGUCAGUAGAUUGCCUUUUAAACAAGAAUCUUUGGAAUUCAGGUGAGAAGGGCUGCAAAUACAGGCAUAUUGAUAAUUUGGGGUUUUUUUUUCUAUUGCAUUGCUAUUAUGGGACUAACAUAGAUAGCUUUGGGAAUUUGAGGAUGAAGCCAUAAGAUGAGGGAAAUAGAGUGUUCUCGGUAUAUGUGGAAAGAGUGUGCUAUCAUAAAUAUUUUGCAAUGAGCAAUAGAGUAGCCUAGUUGAUACAGUUGAAUUGUUCAUUGGGUAUAUAGCACCAAUUCAAGAGUUCACUUAAAAUGCUUAGUCUUCAUCUUACAAGGAGAGGUAAAAACAUGAUACAUGAAAUUUAGUUUGAAAAAGGACUGAAGGGAACAUCCUAAAACUAGGAGAGUUAGAGUUAGAUAUUCUAUGGUUAAAAAGCCAUAACUCCAGAGUAUUUCUGAAGGUAUGGUAUGAAGAAAGUCAUCUUCCAAACAACGUUUACAUUCACAGGAAGAAUCUCAUGGUUCUGGGAUGGAAACUGAUCCAUGAUGAAAUUUGAGGAUAAAGAUGAUGGGGGGAUGGAGGUGCAGAGGUAGAGGAAAGAACUAAGCAUGGGUCAAAAAUGGCUUCCAGAAUCCUAAUUCUGUCCUAAUAGCAAGAUAUAAUUUGACCAUUAAAAAAAAAAACUUAUAAAAAGCAAUGUGGCCAAAUGCAAUUUUAUAGAACAUAAUUUCAUUGAAAGCAAUUUAGUUAAAAGCAAGUUGGUCAGCAGGUCAUUUUGGCUGAAAUGAUGAUGGGGUUUAAAUGAAAAUUCCUGGACACUGCUUUUUUUUAGUCUUAGUUAUUUUUGGUACACCAUGGGGCACUUUGCAGACCUUCAUACAUCAUUACAUAUUCUUUUCCAGUUUAUAGGCCUUUUUCUGCUUUUUUGCUUUUUAAUAUUUAACAUCAUUUCAGUCAUGUUUUUUCAUGUUUAACCAAUUCUCCUUAUUCUCUAUCUUUUUGCUUUUACAUUUCUAAUUCAUAUUAAAAUUAUUCCUGCACACUCUGUUUAAGAUAAGAAGAUGUUAGAAUAAAAUAAAUAUCUAACAUUUGGUAAAUUGCCUAAAUAACUGUAGGUUACAAAAUAAUGGUAUGAUCCCAUUUCUACUGAAAAGUAAGACACAAAUAUUUAUAUAAUAUAUAAUAAACAUACUUUGUAUUUUAGAAAAGAAUCUGUACAGAUAAUGAAAUGUUAAUAGAUAUUUUGGAUAGGUAAAAUUCUAGGGUUUUUUGUGCUCCUUUUGUAUUUUUCUAUUUUAAAAUAUUAAAAAAUCGUAUUUUCAAAAUAAAAAAAUUACAUUUUUCUAUUUCUAAAAUAAAGCAUACAUUUCUGUUAAAAUAUGGAAAAAUAGAAUAAAAGCUAAUAAUGAGUCAUUAAUUAAAAAAUAAUUGAAGGGACUUCCCUGGUGGCACAAUGGUUAAGAAUCUGCCUGCCAAUGCAGGGGACACGGGUUCGAGCCCUGGUCCAGGAAGAUCCCACAUGCCGCAGAGCAACUAACCCCGUGCAUCACAACUACUGAAGCCUGCAUGCCUAGAACCCGUGCUCCGCAACAAGAGAAGCCAGCGCAAUGAGAAGCCCGUGCACUGCAACAAAGAGUAGCCCCUGCUCGCCACAACUAGAGAAAGCCUGUGUGCAGCAACGAAGAUCCAACGAAGCCAUCAAUAAAUUAAUAAAUUAAUUAAUUUUAAAAAAAAGAAGAUGUGGUACAUAUAUAUAGUGGAAUAUUAGUCAGCCAUAAAAAGGAACGAAAUUGGGUCAUUUGUAGAGAUGUGGAUGGACCUAGAGACUGUCAUACAGAGUGAAGUAAGUUAGAAAGAGAAAAACAAAUAUUGUAUAUUAAUGCAUAUAUGUGGAAUCUAGAAAAAUGAUACAGUUGAACUGGCUUGCAAGGCAGAAAUAGAGACAUGGAUGUUGGGGACAAACGUAUGCACACCAAGGGGGGAAAGUGGGGGUGGGUGGUGUGAUGAAUUGGGAGAUUGGGGUUGAUAUAUAUACACUAAUAUGGAUUAAAUGGAUAACUAAUAAGAACCUGCUGUAUAAAAAAAUAAAUAAAAUUCAAAAAAAUAAUUAAAAAAAAGAACUGAAACUUGAAGGAUGGGAUUUUUCUACUUUAAAAAUAACAAUUUAAAGACAAUUAUGCCUAUUCUGCUUAUCUGACUAUGUUUCACUUUUUGUGCAAGGGAAAAAAUUAAGCAGGUAUUUUUUUCAAACUAAGCCACUUUUGUUUGAUGUUUCUCUAUGAAAACUGAAAGAGUGGACAUAGUUAUCUAAGACUUGAUCAGAAAUACAGGUAAAAAAUAGGGAAAUAAGCAGAUAAUGCCUGAAAAUUGGUAUUGCAAAAUUAGAGAAAGAUUUUACUUAGAAAACUCUAACAUAUAGCAAAAAUUUAAACUUUCCACAACAUGAAACAAAAUAGCCUAAAUAAAUUAUGGUAAGUUAAAAAUUAAUGCUAUAUCAUUUCUACUAACAAAUAAAAUAUAAAUAUUUACAUAUUAUAUAAUACACACUGCAUUUUAGAAAAUGGUCUGUACAGAUAUUUAAAAGGAUAAUAGGUGGUUGCACGAUAUUUAAUAAAAGAAUACUUGAAAAACCAGUUCCUAUAUAUAUUCAUUUUUAACAGUUCUCAUACAUAUUAAUUUUUGAACAAACUGCUGGAGUUGAAUAGCUGGGUUUCAGCUAACCUGCAUUCAGCCAAAUUUAAGCAAUUUUUUUCCUGCCAGCUAUAUCAUUGAUUGUACGAUACAUUAGGCAAUGCUGGGAUACUAGAAAUCAUAGCUAAUCUGGAGAACAAAUCUUACAGAAUCUGACAGAGGUAAUUGAUAUGGGAAGAGACAGAGUACAUGGCCAUGAGAAUUUACUAGGGGGACAUAUUGAAAAACACAUAACUGAAUUUAAAGGAAUCUUCUGGAUAUGUUCUGUAUGUUGAGGGAAGAGGUACAUAAUUUCUAGGCCCCUGAGUCUCUGGUCCUGCUAAUGUAAGAAUGUGUAGGUGGGGAGGACUUGGUAGGGUUUUUUUUCCCUGCUUUGGGAAAAUGUAAUGUCCAAGUAUCUUUAGUACAUACCGUUCACUCCUGUAAAAGGAGGCAUGUAUAAGGAUAUUCACACAAGGAUGAUGUAAAAUACAUACAUACACACUACUAUAUAUAAAAUAGAUAACUAAUAAGGACCUAGUGUAUAGCACAGGGAACUCUGCUCAAUACUCUGUAAGGGCCUAUAUGGGAGAAGAAUCUAAAAAGAAGUGUGGAUAUAUGUAUAUGUAUAACUGAAUCACUUUGCUGUACACCUGAAACUAACACAACAUUGUAAAUCAGCUAUACUCCAAUAAAAAAAAUUUUAAAUAUAAAAUAAAAUAUAUACACAGAUAGAUGUAAAUAUUAUAAAUUUUCACCAGUAAGUGAAUGGCUAGAUAAUAUCCCAAACUAUAUAAAAAGCUACUGGUGGCAGUUCAAUGGUAAAGACCUGAAAAUAUAAACAUGGAAACAUCUUUAAGACAUGUUAUUAUGAGAAAAUAAUUUUGCAGAAAUAUUUAUAUGAUUCCAUUUGUAUUAAAACAACAAAACUGUCCUAAAUGUCCUAACUUUUUAUCCAUUUAUGAAUGUAUCUAUGUAAAUGCAUAAAAAACAUUCUAAAGUUACAAAGUACACUGUUUUCAUUCCUUCUGGAGAGGGAAAAAAGAUUGGUGGCAACAGUGGAGGGUUUGCAUUUUUACCAAAUAUAUUUCAGUAUUGUUUGCAUUGAUUAUAAAUAAAUAUAUUUCUGUAUUACUAGCAGAUGUAACAAGUCUAGAAGACUUGAGUAGCUCAAAUAAAGAACUAAGUGGAAGAACAUUUAAUAUUUUAAAUCUUUUAAAUACCUAAAUCUAAUUGAGUCUUCAAAGUGUUAUCUCCUCUAAAAGAUAUAACCUCCCCAACCCUCCCAAACCCACCACAGGGAGGAAAGGAGAAGGCAAGGGUAAAGAUAACAAUUACUGAAAAUCUACGACAUGUUCAGGAAUUUCUUAUGCUUACAAGGAUUUGCUUCUCAUAAGAGGUAGAGCCAGAAAUUAUAUCCCUAGAACUAUUUGGGUUGAGGUAGGCUAAAUAUUACCAUAGUAUUUCCAUGUUUUAGACAUGAAUUGAAAAAUAUUAGAAUUUUCAUUGAGUCGAAAAAGAAUUCUCAUAAGCAUUUCCUUUGUAUGACUUUUCCCUAGAAAGUGUUGAGUGAUGACCAUAGCUAAUCAAUUAGGACGUAAUGGCUAGCUAGUUGAAGUUUUCUUUCAAUAAUGAAUACAUUUAAGUACCUCAGGUUGAUGAAUUCUUGUCUACAUAUGCAAGAGAGAUUAGGCAAUUAUCCAAUAAAUCAGGGUGAUAAACCUAUUACAGAGUAAAGAUGGGGGUGAGGGUUAUUUCUGUUUCUAAGAUUGAUGGCUUGUAUUAGUUAAAUUUACUAUCUUCUUAAUUUUUCCUAGCACGGGAUAACCAAACAAAUACUUUUCUUAAUGGGUCAAGGUUUUGCCUGUAGAAGGUCCUCAAUGAAUAAUUGUUGCAAGAAAUUGAACUUGACAUAGGGAUGUUUUCAAAACACUUUGUAUUCAUCUAAAGUGCUAUCAUUUUGUCUACUUUAUAACAUUUGUUCCAUGUACUACUGCAUUUAAUAUACUCUUUUUUUUUUUUUUUUUUUUUACUGUACACGGGCCUCUCACUGUUGUGGCCUCUCCCGUUGCGGAGUACAGGCUCCGGACGUGCAGACUCAGCGGCCAUGGCUCACGGACCCAGCCGCUCCACGGCAUAUGGGAUCUUCCCGGAUUGGGGCACGAACCCGUGUCCCCUGCAUCGGCAGGCAGACUCUCAACCACUGCGCCACCAGGGAAGUCCUAAUAUACUCUUUAAAAGGUAAAAAAUACAUUUUUACUGAAUUAGUCAACAAUUAAUUUUUGGAAAAGAAGAUGGCAGAGAGUAACAAACCUAUGGAGGAAGCUCUUGAAUAGUUUGAUUCAAACUUGAACAAUGAAUAGACAACUCAAAAGAAAUUCACCCAGACAUCUUCUACACAAGCUCUUCAGAAACUUCCUAGUUUGAGGGUGCCUGGGUGGCUUAUGCAUUGUUCACAUUUUUCUCUAUAUCAGUAUUAUACAGCUUAUCACAUACAUCUCAGAUCUAAAGUGAAUGUUCAUUUCUCCCAGCCUUUUCUAGUGUGCACUACUACACCAUCCUUAUCUUAAAGGAAGGAGAAAACCCAAAGUAAUGCGCAAACCACUGAGAUUAAUAAGGUGAUUGAAUAGCGUGGCUAAGUAGAAGAGUCAAGGUACCAAAGUCAAUUUUAUUUUUAUAUACUAGCAAAUAAUGUUUAGAAUUGCUAAAUAAAAGAUACUACAUACAAGGGCAGGAAAAAUGUAUCAUAGGAAUAAAACUAAAAGCAAUGUAACAGUCUCUUAUAAAGAAUAGUAUGACAUUAGCUAAAAGACAUCAAAGAAGACCUAAAUAAAUGGAGAGUCAGACCAUGUACAUUGAUAGGGAGAGCUCAGUAUCAUAAAUUUGUCAGUUUCCCCCCAAAUUGAUCGAGAGGUUCUUGGUAUUGCCAGUAAAAUUUUCAAAACAGUUUUUCAUGGAAGCAAUAUGAUUUAACCAUAUGUAUAUGUGAGGAGCAAAGGGCCAUAAUGAUCAAUCACACCCGCAGCAGAAGACUGGUCAGGAAUACCUGCCCUACCAAAUAUAAUUCUUAUUAAAAGGCUAUUAUUAUUAAUAUAGUGGAUAUUGAUGCAGAAAAAGGCAGAUAGAUGAAUGCAAUGAACAAAGAAUCCAGAAGAAACCAUAUCUAUAUAUAGAAAUAUUAAAGUAUGACAGAAAUGAAAUUGUUGAUCAGUGGACUGGUUUUGGAAGUUAGCUAAAAAUCAGUUCCAGAUUGAUCAAAAAAUUAUGUGACAAGACUAUAA